AACAUCUUAAUAACUCAUUUUUUUUUCAUUUUGACAUUGUGUUGAAAAUAUCACUUUUUUGGCAAAUGUGCAGUAAGACAAAGGUAUCUAACAAUUUCCACAUCUUUGAUAAAAUUUCAAACCUGCAACACAAAAUACUCAUAAAUAUUUUCCAACAAUUUUCUCAAAAACUAAGUCUUGCAUUUAAUUAAGUCUUCACAGUCGAAGUGGUAGUUUAGCUAAUAUGAAUUUAUAUAUAUAUAUAUAUAUAUAUAUAUAUAUAUAUUUGGUGCAUUUUACUUUGACAUAUUUUCUUACAUAUAUUGAAUAAUGGAUUAUCAAUAUUCACAAAUAAAUGAGCACAUUUUUAACUCGAAUAGUUAAAAAUUGUUUAAAAAUGCAUAAUUGAUAUUAAAAUAAUCUAUUUACUUCUUGUAGUACAUGUAAAGGAAAUCCAAAAUUAAAAUUAGUUUUAGAAUCUAAGAGGAUAGAGUCUCAGCAAGUUUUUAAGUAUUCAUUAUAAACAAACUCAUUAUAAACAAACAAAUUAAGAAACAAAAUAAUAAGAACUCUUUAUUUAGUUCUUGGUAGUUCUACUUUAAUUUUUUUUAGCAAUUCAAACAAACGUGUUCAGUUUAACAAUGCAUUUUGAAACUUUGAAAACAGUUAUACAUCAACUUGCAUGCAUUUACAUAGAAAUUAUGAAGCCAAUAUUUGAUAUCGGAAUUAUACUUGUGUAUAUAUAUAUUAACAAUUAAUAAACCACUUAUAUUUUGCUUUUCUAAUAUCAUUGCAGAUUUAUUCCAUUUCAUAUUAAAUUGCACUCUGAUUAUAUUAUAUUAAAAUACAGAUCUGUACAAUGGCGCUGAACCCUGUGCUUUUGAAGAGAUCGGUAUUUUGAUUAUAUCAAAUGCCUACUGACCUUAGGUGAAAAUGAAACAAUAGCAAUGAUUUGAUGUAUUCAGUCGAUAAGUUUUUAACACUUACAUUUUUCAUAAAAUGGAUGUUGUCUUAUAUAAGGGUUGCUUACCAAAAAUUCCUGUAUUCAUUUUUUUUAUAAUGAUGUCUUCAUUCAAUUAUGUACAUUUUUGUUUUUGAACAUUUUGAAAAUUGAUUUCAGUUUGAAACUCUUAGAUAUUAAUGUGAUUUUCAAAAUACUGUGACUUUUAGUUCAGCGAUAUUAUACUAGUAUCUUUAAGUUAGCAUUUUACAUGCAAUAUUUAUGAAACGGGUGUUAUUUUGAAAAUGCUGUUGUUAAAUAACUGUUCUAAGCAUGCUGUGCAGUCAAUUAUUUCAAAGGUCAUGAAACGUUUAUUUUGAGUAUAAAGUUAUUUAAACUUGCUAUUUAUUUACUGUAGCUGUUAAAAUUUUUCAAUAACAAUAAACAGUUGAAAAUUGU
rnacentral:sRNA from 1 species